rnacentral:tRNA from 1 species
GCGGGGGUGGCCGAGCCAGGUCAAAGGCGGCGGCCUCAAGAGCCGCUCCCGUAGGCCAGAGAAAGGUCCGGGCGGAUGGGUUCGUGGGUUCGAAUCCCACCCCCCGCA